rnacentral:tRNA from 3 species
UGCGACGUAGCUCAGUGGGUAGAGCAUUCGGCUGUUAACCGGAUUGUCACGGGUUCGACUCCCGUCGACGCAA